AGCAUGUUUAGUCCUUUAAUCUUUGUUCCUAGUACUACCUCCAUGAUCCCACACUCCUAAUUAUAUGAGCUAAAAUAUUGCACAUUCAAUCUUUGAGAGAUAUAAAGAAAAAGACAUAUACAUAGAUAGAUUAUCUUUCCAUAAGGUUGAGCGAUCUGAUCUGACAAAUGUUAUAAGUGCUAUACUCAUGAACUUAUCACCCAUCAACUUUUCCUUGCUCCCUAUGCUUAAGGAUAGAGAAGAAUAAAUAUACUUUUGGUUCUGUUGGUGUUUUCCACCAACAGGACCCAUGCACUUGAUCUGUGUCUUGUCUCUAUGAGCAGGACAUAAUGUGAGAAACAUGGAGGAUUUUUCAACUCCCAGACUCUACCAAGUGAAGGACUUGAUCUAGGAGCACAAACACACUGAGCAAGAUACUGCCAACGCCGCACUUUGAAUUGCUAGACAAACGAAGAACAUGGGUGACACCGUAUCAAGAGGUGCAGACGUCAAGGUCCACACCUGAAUCAAAUGACGCACCUAAAGAAUGAACACGGUGAGAAGUCUUGUUCAGAAGACUUAAAAUAUUGAACCCUUGCCGAAAGGUAAAAUCGGUAGUUAUCCAUAUUUAUCCUUUCUGCAUUCCUUUUUCCUUAAAUUAUUUACUUUCCUUAAAUAGCUUGUUAGUUGAUUAUGCUAUCUUGAAAAGAAAAUAAAAAAAUAUGUUAAAAAUAGUAAGCCCCAUGUGAGUAUGCUCGUGGCAUAAAACCCAUAAGUACAUUCACUGUGGUGGUGUAAAAAUAAAAUAAAUAUAUUCCUGUCCAAUAGAAAUGAAAAUAUAAAAAUAAAUUUAUGAUCCUACCAAAGAGAGUAAUAUCUAUUAGAGGAAGCUCAAUAUGAUAACGGCUAAGAGAUUUUAUGCUAACACUUAACCAGUUCCACAAAGCUUUGUUGUCUAUUUGAGCUCCGCAGAAUCCAAGAAUCAAAGAAGACUAGCAAACGGAGGACAUCCUAAUCGCUGUCUAGGUGCUGCCGACAUUCAAAUACACAUCCGCCACCUGCUAGCUACAUUAGAAGAAAUUACGUCAAAAUCCAGCUUGGGGGAGGGUACCCCCAUUUAUCCAACUAAGUGUUUCUACUCAUGUUUAUACUUUACUCGAAUAAUAAAAAGAUGCAUAAUCAUAAAAACCCAAAUAAAGAUUUUAUUCUUAUAUAUAUCUUUGCUUAGUUUGCUAAAUAAAUAAAUAAAUAAAGUUUGCUAUGAACCCUCAUGAUAAGCUCUCACAUGAAAAUGAUGAAUAGUUGCUCUGCCAGGACUAGUUCUCAAAAUUGAAUUCUCUCUCAAGUUUAGGCAUGACUGUUAUGAAUUAAUAUUUGCUCUAAACCUGAACUUGUGGGAAGAGUACUUGAUCUAAAGUCUAAGUCGUUAACGGAUACGA
rnacentral:lncRNA from 1 species